rnacentral:rRNA from 1 species
AUUGAACGCUGGCGGCAUGCUUUACACAUGCAAGUCGAACGGCAGCACGGACUUCGGUCUGGUGGCGAGUGGCGAACGGGUGAGUAAUACAUCGGAACGUACCCAGUAAUGGGGGAUAACUAUCCGAAAGGGUAGCUAAUACCGCAUACUCCCGACGGGGGAAAGAGGGGGAUCGCAAGACCCCUUGUUAUUGGAGCGGCCGAUGGCUGAUUAGCUAGUUGGUAAGGUAAAGGCCUACCAAGGCAACGAUCAGUAGCGGGUGUUAGAGGACGAUCCGCAGCACGUGAACUGAGACGCGGUCCAGAAUCCUACGGGAGGCAGCACUGGGGAAUCUUGGACAAUGAGCGCUAGCCUGAGCGCGCAAUGCCGCGUGCGUGAAGUAGGCCUUCGGGUUGUAAAGGGCUUUGUCAUGGAGCUAAUCAUUGUGGCUAAUACCCACCGGGGAUGAGAGUACCUGAAGAAUAAGGACCGGCUAACUACGUGCCAGCCGCCGCAGUAAGAC